rnacentral:rRNA from 1 species
GACGAACGCUGGCGGCGUGCCUAAUACAUGCAAGUCGAACGCAGUGGGGACGGGUGAGUAACACGUGGGUAACCUCCCAUCAGAGGGGAUAACACUUGGAAACAGGUGCUAAACCGAUACUGAUGGAUGGACCCGCGGUGCAUUAGCUAGUGGGGGAGGUAACGGCUCACCAAGGCCACGAUGCAUAGCCGGCCUGAGAGGAUGAUCAGCCACACUGGAACUGAGACACGGCCCAGACUCCUACGGGAGGCAGCAGUGGGGAAUCUUCGGCAAUGGACGAAAGCCUGACCGAGCAAUGCCGCGUGAGUGAAGAAGGUUUUCGGAUCGUAAAAUUCUGUUGUUAGAGAAGCGGUAUCCAACCAGAAAGCAACGGCCAACUCCGUGCCAGCCGCCGCGGUAAUUC